rnacentral:lncRNA from 1 species
UAAAAAUGAAUUUUGCUAGGCAAGUGUGUACUUUAUCGCACUCGACCUAAAUGAAUGUGAAAUUUACAAUGAUUAAAUGAUUAAAUGUUUAAAUACUACUUGUACAUGAAUGUAAGCCUUUGGCUGAAAUGGGCACUUGCCCUUCGUUGCCGGUCGACUCGAGCCAGAAGCAGACUCGGUCGGGCGAUUGGUGGCCCUGGGUUAAUGUUUGGUAUAAUCGAGUAUGACCAUGAAGGCUGGUGGAGACUGCCCAGUGUCCAGUAAGGGGAAAAUGAAAUGGAUGAAUGAAUGGCAAGAACAAUGGAGGGGUUUUCACUUACAAAUGAAAUUAUUUUUAAUGCUGGAGGAAUAAGGAAAUGGUUGGUGGAAUGAAUGAAUGAAGGGCUCCAUGUUAGCAUGUAUCCUUUUAAUGAAUGUAUUAUCAUUACUUUAUAUUGUAAAUAUUUUCUGGAUUACUUGUUAUUACAUGAUUGAUGUCCUUGUUUAAUUAUUUGGCUAUGUGUAUGGAACCUCACUGAGCUUUUAUCUCAUUCCUUUAGCUUUGUUUUCCUUACAUGGGAUACGAGCGAGGACGUGAGUCUGUGCAGACUAGCUUGGUCUAGUUUUUGAAAUUUUAUUUUUUAUUGUUCUCAUGCUAGUGCUUGGAUAAGGUUGGAUAUAGUAAGAACUUAAAGCUUUUGCUCUAAUUGGGAUUGUAUUUCUGUUUGAGAUGGAUAUGAAUGUAAGUAUAUGUUUCAAGUUUGGGAAUUGUUUUUCGCUUAGUCUCGAGGUUAUAUCUUAUUUCACUUGAUGAGAGCGAUCGAGUCCUGGCGAGAGUUGGGUAGGCGGUCCGCCAAACCCUUUGGUUCGCCUUAGAGAAAGGUGGGGCUGUCACAGGUAAUACAAAAGAAAUGAUGAACUAGCUAAAACUAAAACUAUCCUACACUACCUAAACUAAAAAACUAAGAAACUAUAUUUUGUAGUGCUUUCUUGAUCCUCUACAAAGUUCUUAAAAAUG